GGGUGAGUAAUGCUUAGGAAUCUGCCCAGUAGUGGGGGACAACAGUCGGAAACGGCUGCUAAUACCGCAUACGCCCUACGGGGGAAAGCAGGGGAUCUUCGGACCUUGCGCUAUUGGAUGAGCCUAAGUCGGAUUAGCUAGUUGGUGGGGUAAAGGCCUACCAAGGCGACGAUCCGUAGCUGGUCUGAGAGGAUGAUCAGCCACAUCGGGACUGAGACACGGCCCGAACUCCUACGGGAGGCAGCAGUGGGGAAUAUUGGACAAUGGGGGCAACCCUGAUCCAGCCAUGCCGCGUGUGUGAAGAAGGCUUUCGGGUUGUAAAGCACUUUCAGCGAGGAGGAAGGCCUUAAAGUUAAUACCUUUAGGGAUUGACGUUACUCGCAGAAGAAGCACCGGCUAACUCCGUGCCAGCAGCCGCGGUAAUACGGAGGGUGCAAGCGUUAAUCGGAAUUACUGGGCGUAAAGCGCGCGUAGGUGGUUUGGUAAGCGAGAUGUGAAAGCCCCGGGCUUAACCUGGGAACGGCAUUUCGAACUGUCAGACUAGAGUGUGGUAGAGGUAGUGGAAUUUCCUGUGUAGCG
rnacentral:rRNA from 1 species